CAGCCUGAGUGGGGCUACACAUCUCACAGACCCUUAAGGGAACAGAUUGGUGAGACCUAGUAUGACAGAAAAGGUGCAGAUCUUCUGUCCUUCCAGAACGUCUAUCUCUGGAUAAGUAUCCACUAGAACAACACUGCUCAAGGAGUCCCAUGGAAGGAUGUUUAUGGUGGAAUGAGCCAAACUGCCCAUCGCCAGGGAAAGGGGGAAAUGGUUUUCCUGCCUGGGAUGGAGAACAUUUCAUUAAAGGAACCCAGAGAUGUGAAAGGAGGGAAGGGAACCCUGGCAGGACUGAGAAUGGUUCUUGGCAGCUCCAAGGUGCCAUCCAAUGUUUGCUUCCUGUUUGCCGAUGAGCCGCGAGCCAAAGCAAGCAACGUGGCCAAGCCCAGAGUCAAUAUGGGAGAGCCUGGACACUGGGUAAUAUGACUCACUGCAGCCAUUGAUGGAACAAGUUAGCACACAUGCCUCUCUCAUCCCACUGGUGAUGUUGAUGUUGACGACUGGCUCGGAAGAGAAAUUCCUUUACCGUGACACGUGAGCACUUCGUUUCACUCAGGGAUGAAACUCUGUCCCUAAGUUACCAUGUUACCUAUGACUCAGUUAAACUCCUUUGGCCACCUCAGUACCCAAAUGGCUGUUACUUCCUGUGUGCUUCCGAGUUUUCUCUGUCCAAGCUCGUCAGCGGUUUUUACCAUGUCUGCGUCUCCACGUUUGUGGCUCUUUGUCUCUCACCUCCUGGGGCCAUUGGAUUCUUCCUCUUCUUCUCCCCAUUCCUUUGGCUUGGCUAAAACACCCGCAGGAUGGAAGGGGCAGAGGAAAAGGAAUUGGGAAAGAGGAUACUUCAGAGUCAAUGGAGAAUUCAAGGAUCAGACCCUUCUCGGUGGGCCGUUAGAUAUCAGGAAAAGUAGUUCUACUGAAUUGGGUUUUCCCCAGACGAAAUUCUACAAACUUUCUUAGCAUCAUGCAGAUUUUCCUUUGUAGAUGCCUGUCACCAGAGAAAAAUGCCAUUGUGUUGUGUCAUGCUGAUGCCACGCUGAGACUGGUAACCCUAUCAGCCUGCAGCAAGACUACGGAGUCAGAACCCAAGAACGAUGGCUUUUGGCAUCAUCUUCCCGCUAGUGACUGCAGGAACAUAAACUCCCUGGGGACACGCAGGGGCUCUUUUGGUCUUGUUGAUGGCUAUAUCCACACGGGCCGGCAUGGGGGCACAACCUAGAAGGUAUCCAAUACCUGAAUGGACACACCUCUGAGAAGAAGGCUCAGAAAUGACAAGUUUUCAUCUCAAUGUGACUCCAGCUUUCUGGCAUGUCUUGGUCCAAAGAGCCUCUGCACGUCUCUCCAGAGACAGGCCUGGAACUUGCACCUGUGACGGCCACAUCACUUUGCCCGUGGCUUUCCCCGGCCGUCUGUCCUGGGACAAUGAAUCAAGUGUGUUUGGCAAAUGAAGAUUUUUUUUUUAAGUUUAUUUUUUUUAUUUUGAGAGAGACAGAGAAAGAGAGAGAGAGAGCAGAGGGGCAGAGAGAGAGAAGGAGAGAGGGAGAAUCCCAAGCAAGCUCCACACCGUGAGCACAGAGCCCGAUGCGGGGCUCAAACUCACCAACCUCGAGAUCAUGACCUUAGCUGCUAUCAAGAGUCGGAUGCUUAACUGACUGAGCCACCCAGGUGCCCCCGAAGACUUUUUUUUUUUUUUUAAGAGACUGGAUACCUGCUGAAUCUCCUUUGCAAUUGGAGAAGCGCAAAACUAUGUUAGUUCGGCACAGUUACACACACGUGAGAAAGGGGGAGAGAGAGGAAGUAGGUCCUACAGGAGAAGAAGGCCCAGGAGGGUAACGUCGGCCAGCACACCUUGCCGCCCCCUGAACUGCCUCAGGAACCACCUCUCCCAUUCCGUGACCCUCACUUCCUUGUUUGUCCCCGACCCCCACCCCCCGCAGUGAUUUUGUAAUUUCCAACCCAUCCUUCCUGAAGAUAAAAGGCACCAUGGGCGGGAUCCAUGAAUAAAAGUCGUUAUUUAUCGAUGCCA